GACGAACGCUGGCGGCGUGCCUAACACAUGCAAGUCGAGCGGGAACCUCGGGAGGGGUAACCCUUCCGUGGGGAGAGCGGCGAACGGGUGAGUAACACGUGGGCAACCUGCCCCGGACACCGGGAUAACCCAGGGAAACCUGAGCUAAUACCGGAUACUCCGGCGUGAUCGCAUGGUCGCGCCGGGAAAGCCCCGACGGUCCGGGAUGGGCCCGCGGCCUAUCAGCUUGUUGGUGGGGUAACGGCCCGCCAAGGCGACGACGGGUAGCUGGUCUGAGAGGACGGCCAGCCACACUGGGACUGAGACACGGCCCAGACUCCUACGGGAGGCAGCAGUGGGGGAUCUUGCGCUAAUGCGCGAAAGCGUGACGCAGCGACGCCGCGUGGGGGAUGAAGGCCCUCGGGUUGUAAACCCCUUUCGGCAGGGACGAAGCGAAAGUGACGGUACCUGCAGAAGAAGUCCCGGCUAACUACGUGCCAGCCGCCGCCGUAAUAC
rnacentral:rRNA from 1 species